GACGAACGCUGGCGGCGUGCUUAACACAUGCAAGUCGAACGGUGAAGGGACCGGUUUUUGCUGGUUCUGGAUGAGUGGCGAACGGGUGAGUAACACGUGAGUAACCUGCCCCCUUCUUCUGGAUAACCGCAUGAAAGUGUGGCUAAUACGGGAUAUUCUGCGCCUGCUGCAUGGUGGGUGUGGGAAAGAUAUUGUUUCGGUGGGGGAUGGGCUCGCGGCCUAUCAGCUUGUUGGUGGGGUGAUGGCCUACCAAGGCGGUGACGGGUAGCCGGCCUGAGAGGGGGGACGCUCACCUGGGGACUGGGCCACGGCCCAGACUCCUCGGGGGGGCAGCGGGGGGGAAUAUUGCAAAAUGGGGCAAACCCUAAUGCACCGCCGCCGGUGGGGGGAUGGGGGCCUUGGGUUUUAAAACCUUUUUCGCCAGGAAACCAGGCCGGCCCCUUUUUGGGGGGGUUGGCCGGUAGUGUGAUAAGAAGGGCCGGCGAACUACG
rnacentral:rRNA from 1 species